rnacentral:ncRNA from 1 species
AUCAGGCCGGGUUCGCUCCCGGUCAGGCCGGCGCUCGGACAGGGGCGAAUCCGGUCCGGCGUCCGUCGAUAACCUGGCGCCACG